UAUUAAAAUGGUUUUGUUUAUUACAUUCAGUUCAAAGUAUAACAAUAUGGCUCAAUUUUUCAUGUUUGUUUAUAUUUUGAUCAUUUUUCUUUCUUCAUUUUUGAUUGAAGCAAGUACAGCUGCGACGCCCUGCACUAGUGACAAAGAUUGUCGUUUAGAACGUUAUAAUGUAUGGUGCAUUAACGGUUAUUGUAAAUAUAAAUUUACGCCUAUAGAUUAAUAAUUAAGUUUAAAAUUAAGUAUGUACCCCUAAGAAAGUAUGCACUAUAUUUUGCGAGUGUAUACAUAAUAUAAAUGCAUACAUCUUUAAACUGGGUGAUAUUAAUUUUAUAUGUAUACAAAUAGACUAUAAUAAUAAUAGAGAAAAUCAUGUCUUUUUUUAAUAAA